AGGGGAAUAUUGCACAAUGGGCGCAAGCCUGAUGCAGCCAUGCCGCGUGUGUGAAGAAGGCCUUCGGGUGGUAAAGCACUUUCAGCGGGGAGGAAGGCGUUAAGGUUAAUAACCUUGGCGAUUGAAGUUACCCGCAGAAGAAGCACCGGCUAACUCCGUGCCAGCAGCCGCGGUAAUACGGAGGGUGCAAGCGUUAAUCGGAAUUACUGGGCGUAAAGCGCACGCAGGCGGUCUGUCAAGUCGGAUGUGAAAUCCCCGGGCUCAACCUGGGAACUGCAUUCGAAACUGGCAGGCUAGAGUCUUGUAGAGGGGGGUAGAAUUCCAGGUGUGGCGGUGAAAUGCGUAGAGAUCUGGAGGAAUACCGGUGGCGAAGGCGGCCCCCUGGACAAAGACUGACGCUCAGGUGCGAAAGCGUGGGGAGCAAACAGG
rnacentral:rRNA from 1 species